UGCCAUAAGAUGAGCCCAAGUGGGAUUAGGUAGUUGGUGGGGUAAAGGCCUACCAAGCCGACGAUCUCUAGCUGGUCUGAGAGGAUGACCAGCCACACUGGAACUGAGACACGGUCCAGACUCCUACGGGAGGCAGCAGUGGGGAAUAUUGCACAAUGGGGGGAACCCUGAUGCAGCCAUGCCGCGUGAAUGAAGAAGGCCUUCGGGUUGUAAAGUUCUUUCGGUGAUGAGGAAGGGUGAUGUUUUAAUAGAGCAUUACAUUGACGUUAGUCACAGAAGAAGCACCGGCUAACUCCGUGCCAGCAGCCGCGGUAAUACGGAGGGUGCGAGCGUUAAUCGGAAUGACUGGGCGUAAAGGGCACGCAGGCGGUGACUUAAGUGAGAUGUGAAAGCCCCGAGCUUAACUUGGGAAUUGCAUUUCAUACUGGGUGGCUAGAGUAUUUUAGGGAGGGGUAGAAUUCCACGUGUAGCGGUGAAAUGCGUAGAGAUGUGGAGGAAUACCGAAGGCGAAGGCAGCCCCUUGGGAAAAUACUGACGCUCAUGUGCGAAAGCGUGGGGAGCAAACAGGAUUAGAUACCCUGGUAGUCCACGCUGUAAACGCUGUCGAUUUGGGGAUUGGGCUUUAUGUUUGGUGCCCGUAGCUAACGUGAUAAAUCGACCGCCUGGGGAGUACGGCCGCAAGGUUAAAACUCAAAUGAAUUGACGGGGGCCCGCACAAGCGGUGGAGCAUGUGGUUUAAUUCGAUGCAACGCGAAGAACCUUACCUACUCUUGACAUCCUAAGAAG
rnacentral:rRNA from 1 species